rnacentral:rRNA from 1 species
GACGAACGCUGGCGGCGUGCUUAACACAUGCAAGUCGAACGGAAAGGCCCUGCUUUUGUGGGGUGCUCGAGUGGCGAACGGGUGAGUAACACGUGAGUAACCUGCCCUUGACUUUGGGAUAACUUCAGGAAACUGGGGCUAAUACCGGAUAGGAGCUCCUGCUGCAUGGUGGGGGUUGGAAAGUUUCGGCGGUUGGGGAUGGACUCGCGGCUUAUCAGCUUGUUUGUGGGGUAGUUGCUUACCAAGGCUUUGACGGGUAGCCGGCAUGAGAGGGGGGCCGGGGACAUUGGGCCUAAGAUAGGGCGCAGACGCGUACGGGAGGCAGCAGUGGGAAGUAUGACGCAGUGGGCGGAAGCCUGAGGCAGCAGCGCCGCGUGCGGGAUGACGGGCUUCGGGUGGUAAACCGCUUUCGCCUGUGACGAAGCGUGAGUGACGGUAAUGGGUAAAGAAGCACCGGCUAACUACGUG